GACGAACGCUGGCGGCGUGCUUAACACAUGCAAGUCGAGCGGUAAGGCCCUUUCGGGGGUACACGAGCGGCGAACGGGUGAGUAACACGUGGGUGACCUGCCCUCAGCUCUGGGAUAAGCCCGGGAAACUGGGUCUAAUACCGGAUAUGACUUCAUGACGCAUGUUGUGGAGUGGAAAGCCUUGUGCGGCUGAGGAUGGGCCCGCGGCCUAUCAGCUCGUUGGUGGGGUGAGGCCUACCAAGGCGACGACGGGUAGCCGGCCUGAGAGGGCGACCGGCCACACUGGGACUGAGAUACGGCCCAGACUCCUACGGGAGGCAGCAGUGGGGAAUCUUGCGCAAUGGGCGAAAGCCUGACGCAGCGACGCCGCGUGAGGGAU
rnacentral:rRNA from 1 species